AUUGAACGCUGGCGGCAGGCCUAACACAUGCAAGUCGAGCGAGCGGCGGACGGGUGAGUAAUGUAUCGGCAUCUUCCCGCUAGAGGGGGAUAACUACUGGAAACGGUGGCUAAUACCGCAUACUAUCGGAUGAACCCCGAUGGGAUUAGCUAGUAGGUGGGGUAAAGGCUGACCUAGGCGACGAUCUAUAGCUGGUCUGAGAGGAUGAUCAGCCAAACGGGGACUGAGACACGUCCCAGACUCGUACGGGAGGCAGCAGUGGGGAAUAUUGCACAAUGGGCGCAAGCCUGAUGCAGCCAUGCCGCGUGUAUGAAGAAGGCCUUAGGGUUGUAAAGUACUUUCAGCGAGGAGGCGUUACCCGCAGAAGAAGCACCGGCUAACUCCGUGCCAGCAGCCGCGGUAAUUC
rnacentral:rRNA from 1 species